GAAGUUCCCGGAUGGUCGCAGCCUCCUGGCGCUGAGCGCUUUUCCUGCCCGCCCGGCACAGCCCUGCGGACCCCGGGAGAAGUUUCCCAGAAAAAAUGCCCAGCGCGGCGCGGGGCUGUGGAGUCGUCUGGAGCCGCUGCGCGGCUGGAGUGCAGUAGUGCCAUCAGUUCACUGCAGCCUCGACUUCCCAGGCCCAAAUGAUCCUCCUACCUUAGCCUCCCAAGAGUUUUGCAUCCCUUGCUUUGGCUGAGAAGAGGAUAAAACCUAGAAAGAAGUCUAAGCAAGACCGAGUGUGGUGGCUCACUCCUGUAACCCCAGCACUUUGGGAGGCCAAGGUGAGAGGAUGGCUUGAGUCCAGGAGUUCAAGAACAGCCUGGGCAACAUGGCAAAACCCCAUUAAAUACAAAAAUUAGCUGGACGUCGUUGUGCACACCUGUAGUCCCAGCUACUCAGGAGACUGAGGUGGAUCACUCAAGCCUAGGGAAGUAGAACCGUGAUUACACCACUGCACUCCAUCCUGGGCAACAGAGUAAGACCCUGUCAAA
rnacentral:sRNA from 1 species